CCGGUCCCGGCCGCCGCCGCCGCGCCCCGCCGGGAAGAUGAGGGGAGGGCCAAAAGCACACAAACCUGCUGUGUCAUGUGUCUGGUGGUCUUGUGUCUCUGGUCUCCACACAAAAGGUGUGUCUGCAUCCGUCUCACCUGGUCUGAUCAGAAUGCGAGUCAGAGACCUCCGGGGAUAAAUCAUCAAGCACAACAGAUGGUAGCGAAGUUUUCCCUUGCUCCCUCCUGCUCAGUUGGCAGCCCAUCUGGGAGAAGUCUUGCCCCGUGAAGAAGGGUUGCUAGAGCUCUUUCCCCAGGAAGAGGGAAAGCUGACUUACUGACUCAUAAGCACAUCUUUCAGAACCCCAAGGAGGCACCAUGGGCAGAUUGGAAGGCUGCAACGAUUUUGGGUUUCUCCCAUUGAAGAUGUUCUGCGCCACAUGAAUUUACACAUUUGCUGGUUGCACUUCUUGUUGGAAGAGGGAGCAGGGGACCGAGACCCACCCACACAGACUGUGAAUUAGGGUAUCAUAAUGUACCCAAAGUAAUCCCCACCAGGAGAGCUAGGGCACUCUCAGAGGAGGUCAGCCACAGGGUGUUUUGGAAGGCAAAAGCAGCUUAACUCCAGGAGAGGCUCCAGAACUUCCCCAUAUCCUCACUUUUGACAAUGAGGGAGGGGGUGCUUCUCUAGGUUGCACCCUCCCAGGCUGCCUCUGCUCUAGGUGAGGUGGCUGGAGCUGGUCUGUGUGUGCUGCUGGGCGUAUCCUUGUGCAGCUGCCCUUUCCUGCUUUCCCCAUGUGACACUUGGCAUCUUGCAGGUGUAUCAUGCUUCAAGUAGUCUUUUGUUAUAAAUACCACUUUUAUACUUAAUGUACAUUAUUAUUUUGUUGGAAUUCCUGAUUUUAAAGGCUUCCAUUACUGAUUCUUUUCCCUUGCAUAUACAGACAUUACUGACUAGGUUGUACUUGUCAGUAAACAUGUGUCUGUAAAUCACCUUUUCCAAUAACAAUUCUUGUUUAAUAAAUACAAGCUGUAUAACUCCAAAAUACCCUGGCAGGCUAUAUAAUCAUUUAAUAAAAACCUCCUUGAAACAUUUGCUUAGCCAUGUGUGUUUUAUUUAUGUCACUUUUUGUGGUGAAUAGCUUACAGUGCUAUUCUUUGCACAUAAAUUGCAUUUAUGUGAUGGUUUCCAUUUUUUGAUGAUUCUUUAUAUUUUCACUUCAAAGGUAUGAAGUGUGUGAAUAGUGGGUGCACCACACACCUUAGUAAUAAAACAGAUUAUAACAGAUGUUCUGUCUCAAAAGUGGAUUAGGAUCCCUGGGUGGAAAAUGUUAAGGUGCAGAGGUGUUAUUAUUUUUUAGUAUACAAAAAUACUGCUUUAGUACAACAAAUGUAGAGGUUAUUUGACAGCAGAUAUUAAUUUUUUCUUGGAAGUAAUAGAAUUAGCUCAUGUUUGGGAAAACGUCUAUGAAUAUUGCUGUAGAUGAAAAUAAAAAUUUUAACGUUCUGUCACGAGAGGUGUAACCUGUCAUUUCUUAGUCAUACCUGUAGUUUAUAAGGCAUCUGUGUUUCAGGGGUCCCUAUUCUUAAAAAUAAAAACCAGAUAUAGCAUUUUGGGUUUAUCCCUGAAAAAAUCCGUCUCUCUCUUUGCCAUGGCUGUAGUGAGUGUACAUUUGCUCUCUGUGCUGUGGUCCUGAGGCAGUGAUGGGGGGGAAGCCUCCCACUUUAAGCACUUAGGGUUUUUCUAAACAGAACAUACAGUGAAUAUCCAGAGAUGGAACCAGCCUCUAAACAGGAUUAUUCAGAUUAAAACUGUACCUCCUUACUCUUUUGUGGUAACACGUGCUUUAAUCCGAGCCAAAGUAAUGAGUUCAGCACAGAAGUUAUGGGGGAAAGCAGUGUCAUGGAGCACCUUAAUGUUUAGCUAAAGUCAGGCUUCUUGUUCUGAUGCUUUUGUAUAGCUACCAACGGGAAAUCCAAAAAAGCUGUCGUGUUUAGCUCUAAUUUAAAUGGAUGCAACAACAUGUUGAGAAAAAAAGGACUGAAUAUUCAUAGUACAAAAGUACAAACCUGUUUUAAUAACAGGAAGGUAUAUACAUCAUUCUUCUUAACCCUUUUGUUUUCAGACAUAAGCAAGCAAAGUCUUUACAUUUAUACCAAUAAACACAAUGUAUGGAGCAUUUCAGUGUCCUCCCCAUUUUCUAUUCAUUAAGCAGUUCAUGAGAUAAAUCAAGAGUCUUGCUAAUUCUUUCAGUUUGAGUGGAGGGUAACUGGAGUUGUAUCUAUGCAGUGUUAUUUUCUAACUUUUCUCUCUUUACCAUUUCUUUCUGUUUGCAUCUUUAAAAACCUAGAGAGAAUAUGAUGUUUUUAUUUAUAAUGUCAUCAAAAUUGGGGUCACCAGCCUCACUGUUUGUAGCUCAGAGUUUCCAGUAGAAAAGCAGGAGCACACCCUGAGAUGGAUAAUAAAAUCAAGUUGUCUAUAAAAUAUCAUUUAACCUUGUCACUUAGUAAUUGAUUUCUGAGCUGGAGCAAUAUGCCUGUAGCUUAGCUAAUUUUUGUUUAAUUCGAAGGCUCUGUCCUGCCAUGUUUUGACUCCUGCUGUGUGCUGUGGCAUCAUGGUGUGUGGUUGUGGGUUCCUGGGGUCAGCUGGGAGCUGUCAGACCACCCUCCACAGCCCUGCCUUUGGAUAUGUUUAGGUUUGCAGCCUUUCAACUGUGCUGCACAGUUCUGCCAGCGUCUCUCCAUAGGAAAACACCCACCCCUUUGCCUGCCAUGGUUUGGUCAGCAAAAUCCCAAGUGUGGGUACUGUGCUGCUGACAGAAAAUUGCUUUUGUUAGCUCAGCCUUGAUCUUUAGAGGACUAGGUAAGCUCUAGCUGCAGACAAACUCAUUGUCAGCAGAUUUUGGACCUCCACUGAAGGUUGCACCAUGCUGGCUGUGCCCAUGUAAAGGCAGCAGUGGUGUCUCACUGGGCACAGGUGACACUGGGUUUCCACCAGCGUACCCUGACUGUCAGGCUGGGGACCAGGCAGUCCAGCUGUGCCUCUUUCAUGUAUACUUUUAACUUAUUUUUCCUUCUCUAAAAUAAAGCAUAGACUCUGGA